UCACCCCGCAAACAAACACCUGGCCUUCCUGCAAGGACGAGAAGAUGGAGGUGAGGAGGAAACAGAGAAGAUGAGAACGGAGAACCAUGUUAAAAUGUCUGUAGCUCCUAUUAAAACAAAACUGGAUAAAGAAGGAAGUAUCUGAGGAGGAACGGACAGGAUUAUGGAGAUAUCAAUGGAAAUGCACCAGCUGGUUGGAAAGAAACACCCUGUCAAAAAUCAGAUUACGAUAAAAGCUUUCCGAUUUGCUGGAGAAACUGUGGAAAUCAAAACCACUGCCAUAUUUUCAGGUAUUGUUCUGUUACUGAAGAUUUCUGGAGAGGGUCCUCAGGUCCCUACAGCCAGAAAGAAAGACUAUUUUAUGGCUGUAGACCUCAAGACUGGUUAAAAACGGAUAAAUAUUAAUUGAACGCAUUUCUAAAAAGGCAAUAAAAAUGGAGUUUGCUUCCAACUGGUAAAAAUAGGUCAACUCUAACAACUCCUAGCCCUGAUCUUAAUUUUGAUGGAGCGAUGGUAAAAGGUCCCCCCUUGUAUUAUAUUUACAUAGCUGUUGUCUUCUGCAUUGUUCUUAAAUCUAAAUAAAAUGUCUGUAGCUCCUGAACCACACAGAUAAUACGGAUAACUGCGGUUCACCAGAAAGGAAACAUCUUAAUACUUGUUGGUACGGAGUCAGAAACAAAGCUGCAGGCUCUAUAAAACUGCCAAAAUGUAAAAUUAGUGUAAAGAAACUUGUGUCAGUGUCUUUGUUUGAACAUGCACAAACAAAGUGCAAAGAAAAUACAGACGAAUAACUGAGUCGGAUUUGGCAGAAAUAUGACAAUUUUCUGUGUUUUUUUCAGUCCAGGCGCCUCCAGAAUGGGACACCGGGGAUAUUCUCAACUUCUAGUCUUUUAUCAGUGGCUAACUCUCCCUGUCUCCAGGGCCUUGGCAUGACAAGAAGCAAACACGAAAGCUCUCAGAUGUCCUGUUUUAACAGCUUUCUAUCCAGAAAUGGUGGCGUGUUUGACGGUCAUAAAUUUUACCUCUUCACUUUCCCACCCUUGCCGGGCCUGGCUGCUCACCUCCAGGACAUAGUAGCGGUACAGGUAGGCUCCUCCAACCACCACUCCAGACAGCAUGAGGGCGAGACCCAGACACAUGCACCAGCACCAGGCCCGGGACUGGUGGCGCACCAGCAGAGCCGCCUCGGCAUCCUGAAGGAGAACGAAGACGACAGCAGCUGAUUAGACAGUUCGAUUGUUUCCAUAUUUAUACAUUCAGAGAGACGACCCUUCAAGCAGACGAUUUCAAUGAAACCCUCCGAGGACCGGCAAGCUUCUGAUUAAUCACAGACUGGUAAUUUAUCUACUUCCUCCUGUCAGUUUCCAGGAUUUCAGCGCUUCAAAAGCCAGUUUCAUAAACCAAACAAAUACAAUAUGGAGCCAACACAUCGGCACAAUUUUAAUCAACGAGGAAGAAAAACGUUGAUUAAAGCGAUGAUUGCAACAAGAUAAAGGUAAUCAGGGAUGUGUAUUAAAAAAUAGUGCAAUCACAAUGCUGUAAUAUAUAAAUAGUCCAUUUUAAGUAAAAGCUGGGCAGUGGAAAUGUCAGUAAAAUGUACUCCUUUAUUUAGAAAUUGCCCCAGUGAGCAGUGAACUACAUUAUUGGAUUAUUACUGCUUAUAGAUAAAUGGAGAGACCGACUGUUUUAACUAUUUUAUACACCACUAGGCCACGUAAUAAACAAAAAUGCAUCAUAUUUCACCACGUCUUCAUAUUUUUGUUAUAUAAAAUCUUAAUCUAUCCACAAAACAUUAACUAAAGAUGUUAAAUAAAGGUGUCAGAGGUACAAUAUUUCACUCUGAAGUGCUGUGAAAAACAAGGAUAAAGUCAGCCAAAUUGAAAGUACUCAAGCAUGUCAGCAAAAUGUCCUUCUAUUUUCCCAGAAAGUGGCCCCUUUGAGCAUUGUACUAGAUUAUUGGGUUAUUACUGGGUAUUUUUAUGUGGAGACAGACUUUUACUGCUCAAGUUGCAACUAUUUCAACUUGUUAAUGACCACUAGGCAGCGCAAUAAAUAAAACUGUGUCAUAUUUUAUCACAUCUUCAUGUCUUUGGUAUGUAAAAUCUUGAUAUAUCAAGAAAAUAUUAAUCAAAAAUGUUAAAUAAAGCUGUAAGAUACAA